UCUUAGUCAAUGCUCGCAAGAGUGAACUAGCUAACUGGAAUCAUGGAUGUGUCGUCCGUGAUAACGUAAAGGAAAAUAAUGAUAUUACUUUACUAUAAGUGUUGUCCAAACCUGGUGCCAGAAGACUCGGUAAGGCCAGAGACGCAAGCGUUAAUCAUCUUGAUCAGGCGUAAAGGGUUUGUAGGCGGCUUUAAAUUUAAUUAAAGCUAGAAUCUAAUAGAGGUCACUUUAUAGAGAAUACUUAGAGUAGGGUUGACAUCUGCAGAUACUAAGUAGAAUUCUAACUAGCGAAAGCUCUUUUCCAAUUAAAGAUUGACGCUGAGAAACGAAGGGGAGGAAAGACAAUAGGAUUAGAUACCCUGGCAUCCCUCCCUGUGAACGAUGAAUGGUGGUUGCUAGUUU
rnacentral:rRNA from 1 species